rnacentral:rRNA from 1 species
UGCAAGUCGAACGGCAGCAUGGAGAGCUUGCUCUCUGAUGGCGAGUGGCGAACGGGUGAGUAAAGCAUCGGAACGUACCGUGUAGUGGGGGAUAACGUAGCGAAAGUUACGCUAAUACCGCAUACGCACUGAGGUGGAAAGCAGGGGAUCGCAAGACCUUGCGCUAUACGAGCGGCCGAUGUCAGAUUAGCUAGUUGGUAGGGUAAAGGCCUACCAAGGCGACGAUCUGUAGCGGGUCUGAGAGGAUGAUCCGCCACACUGGGACUGAGACACGGCCCAGACUCCUACGGGAGGCAGCAGUGGGGAAUUUUGGACAAUGGGGGCAACCCUGAUCCAGCCAUGCCGCGUGAGUGAAGAAGGCCUUCGGGUUGUAAAGCUCUUUCGGCCGGGAAGAAAUCGCACAGGCUAAUACCCUGUGUGGAUGACGGUACCGGCAUAAGAAGCACCGGCUAACUACGUGCCAGCAGCCGCGGUAAUACGUAGGGUGCGAGCGUUAAUCGGAAUUACUGGGCGUAAAGCGUGCGCAGGCGGUUAGGUAAGUUUGAUGUGAAAUCCCCGGGCUCAACCUGGGAACUGCAUUGAAGACUGCCUAACUAGAGUACGGCAGA